rnacentral:rRNA from 1 species
AUUGAACGCUGGCGGCAUGCCUUACACAUGCAAGUCGAACGGUAACGGGCCUUCGGGUGCCGACGAGUGGCGCACGGGUGAGUAAUACAUCGGAACGUGCCCGAUCGUGGGGGAUAACGAGGCGAAAGCUUUGCUAAUACCGCAUACGAUCUACGGAUGAAAGCAGGGGACCGCAAGGCCUUGCGCGGACGGAGCGGCCGAUGGCAGAUUAGGUAGUUGGUGGGAUAAAAGCUUACCAAGCCGACGAUCUGUAGCUGGUCUGAGAGGAUGAUCAGCCACACUGGGACUGAGACACGGCCCAGACUCCUACGGGAGGCAGCAGUGGGGAAUUUUGGACAAUGGGCGCAAGCCUGAUCCAGCCAUGCCGCGUGCAGGAUGAAGGCCUUCGGGUUGUAAACUGCUUUUGUACGUAACGAAAAGCCUUCUUUUAAUACGGGAGGGUCAUGACGGUACCGGAAGAAUAAGCACCGGCUAACUACGUG